CGCGGAUUUCGGGACUUUAAUAACUCGUGUAACGCUCUAAUAGCGCUCUCUGCUCUGGGAGGACCGAGGUCACGAAUGUGGCUUACAGAUUGUGGACUGAAAAGACUCUGAGACUCUGAGGACUUUGAGCUACAGUCAGCCGGAGGACGUCCUCACAGCUGGCUGUGGAGUUCACUACAAGGAGUCAGAUUAUUUCUCUGGGCUUAAU